ACAAUAUGGAAUGAUAAUUAUAAGGUAUAACUUAUACAUUACAUACAGUAGUAUAUAGGAAUGAUCCGUAUGGUAUAAUUUAUAGCAUCAUAUGAUUUAUCUGCUACACCAGUUUCUGAUUUUUGACUCCUGUACAGUCAUGCAGACUCUGUUAUAACGAGAGCAUAGAACAGACUGACGGCUUCAGAAACCCCUUCCUAAUUGUGCCUCGGGAGGGUCGUGGUUCCUAGCGACCUUGGUGAUAAAGGUCCCAUUUAUGGGAUGUGCUCAUUCUUGAGCUCAGGCCUGGAUCCUGUGCAGGCAGGAAGCUGUGGUACGUGCCUUCACCCGUGUUGUCCCAGGCACUCUGUCCCUGAUCUAGAGGGUGACUUCCUUGGAACCUUGUCUCCCUUCAUGUUUUAGGUCUAAAUAUACUCUUGGACCCAAGCCUGACUGAUUAUAGUUAACUUUCUAGGCUUCAAUGGAAGCAGACCCAGCCGUAACAUUUGAAAACAGACCUCCUAGCUACCUCGACCUCGGCAGGGAGGGCCGCCAACCUUGAGGACUUGCCAGGAGAAGGUGAGGAGCUUCACCUCCAUUCGCUCAGCUCCUGAAGAGUCUGAGGCCGCCUGGUUCAGGCACUGCAGAGACAAAGUGCAUGGGGGCGCCACUUCCAAGUUCAGGGAAGACCUGGUGGGGAUGUGGCUGGAGUUGAGGUGUUCUCAGGAAGGACCUCAUCAGGUUCCACUAUGCUGGCUGGAGUCCGCCAUUCCCACAUUCCCCAGCCCUCGCCAGCCCACCAGCAGCCCACAGGGGUUCAGAGUCUUCAAAGAUUUAUCCAGGUCGACCACCUGCAGAGCACCACUGGGGUCUCCUGGACGUCACCUGGAUAAAGAAGAUAGGAUGCCAACUUGGAUCAGGAGAAGCACAGCGGGAAUCAGCCGAGAGGCCAGGGGAGCUGGCUGCGGGUUCCCAGAGGCUGUGCUGGUGAUUCCAGCAACUGCCUUCCACAAUCCUCAGGAGACAGCAGAACACCCCCCACAGCGAGAGCAGCUCUUCUGUCUCUACAAAGAGGACAGUAUGGAAAGGGGAGGGCAGAAGAAUAACAUUACUCUUCAGAGAGACCUGACAACACUAACUCGUGGAAGGACUGGGGUCAGCACUGACGGGAUGUCCAGCUGGCGUGAACCCUUGCUUUGAUGGGAUGAACCAGGAUGUGGCCUCUGUGGUCAAAACCCACAAUGCACAUCUCACCACCAGGAAAACUUCAGGAAAUUGUGAGAGAGGAGGAUCCUCCUCUGUGCCUCCCUUAAUUCCUUCCAAGGGUAAAGACCCCAAAGACCUAAGGACCUCCCACUAAGCUCCUCCUCUUAAAGGCUCCACCUUUUAAGCUGUCAAGGUCAUCAAAUCCAAGGAAAGUCUGAGAAGCUUAAGUCUAGAGGACCCCAAGGAGACAGACAACUAAAUGCAAUGUGGAAUUGUGGAAGAAAAGAGAGGUAUUGGGUGAAAACAAAGGACAGUUGAGUAAUCUAUGGUGGCAGUUAAUAAUAAUCACUAUAGCUUAGAUGUAGUUUGUCCCCCAGGGGGUCAUGUGCUGGACGCUUGGUCUCCAGCUUGGUGAUGGCAGUGGUGGGUCCUUUAGGAGAUAGAGCCUAGUGGGAGGCUUUAUCCUUGCAAAGAAUUAAGGUGGUUCAUGAGGGACUCCUGAGUUAAUUCUCUUGAGAGGGUUGUUGUAAGAAAAGUGAGCCUAACCCUCCAAGCUCGGGUUCCUUGUUUUGCCAUAAGAUCUCUUGCUUCCCCACGUUUCUGUCAUGGCCAAUAGGCCCUCACCAGAGGCUGAACCAAAGGGCUGCCAAUCUUGAACUUUCAAGGGUUGAAACUGGGCCAAAUAAAUCUCUUUUCUUCAUAAGUAUACUGCCUCAGGUAUUUCAUUAUAGUAAUGAAAAGUGGACUGGUUAAAAUAUAACAGUAUCAAUAUUGAUUCGUUAAUGAAAACAAAAUGCACUAUUGUUAAAAAUUAAUAAUGGGGGAAAUUGGGCACAGGGUAUAU
rnacentral:lncRNA from 1 species